rnacentral:lncRNA from 1 species
GGACAGAGUUCAUAGCCAGAUGUAAGUAUCGGUUGUGUAGAGGGUGGUGCCUCUAAGAACUCACCCCAAGGAGCAGAGGGGCUUUGAAAAGAUGGCCUCUCCAUGGAUAGUGAGGGUAAAGGUAGAAGGAAAGAAAACUAAAAGAUAUGAGGGUGACUAGGUAUGAAGAAAGAUACAACAACCGUUCCCCAGCAACGGUGCCAGAAAGCUUGUUGGGUAUUUUAGCAAUGUGGAGUAAAUCCGCAACUGCACGGAUACUAUUGUAGCUUUCACCUUAGAGUAUUCCAAGGGUAUCAAAUCCAAGGGAACGUGUGUGUACUAACUCCUAGUUUAGUCGGUCCAAGGGUAGAGAGGAUUCCUAAAGAUAGCUCUAUAGGUGAGUUAAAGGUCGAUCUCUUGGUUAAAGAACUCGCUUCGAGCACCGGCUUACCCUGAAUUAUUCUAGCGCCUCCAGCCAAUAGCUCUACACUAUAUCCGAACGUGGAGGAUUACAAAGGACCAAUAGGGCUGUUACCACCUAUGGCCUAUCUCUAGCAACCCAUGGGAUAUAAGGCAAAUGAAGGAUAACCCUUAGCCUAGACACCACGUCUACACUAUUGAUUACUAUUGUAGUCUAACUACGUCUAAGCUCCCAUAGCAGACAUACAACACUCUAUAUAAAUACAGAGCGAUGAACUCGCGAGUAAGAGAACUGAUCUCACUCAGAUAUAGAUACUACUAGUGUAUACUGUAGACAUACAUAAGAGCACUCAAGCCUAUACUAUGAUAGCAAGGGUAUAUGACUGGCAUAUGAGCAUAUAAACCAAGCAUAUACACAUAGAAAGGGAAUAAGACUACUCAUGCAACCAAGUAUAACACUAUAAAAAGGAAUCAUGAAUACAAACUUACUUUACUCAAAGGAGGCCAGCAUCCGUAGAGGUACAAGCUAGGAGGAGACUGCCGACACUCCAGCACUCCUCCCCC